rnacentral:lncRNA from 1 species
UGACUAGACUUGCCUAGAUAAUACGGUACAGUGACUGAGAAAAAUGCAUUUAUUUAAUUAAUUAACCUCUGUUUGAUUUGUUAAAAUUAAAUUUUUAAUAGAUUUUGAUAAAAGUGAUGAAAUUUGUGGUUAAAAACUUUCUACUUGUUAAGUUUUACUUAUAUUUUUAUCAAACUUUUUAGCUAAAUUAAAAUAAGGGCUUAAUUUUGUGCAUGUUUAGCGAAGUUUACAAUUAUUUAUAAGAUGGUUAAACUUUAUUUUUAUCUACACAUUUCAUAUGCUUACAAUUUUACCUAUUUUAAGUAUAUAUUCCUUAUGACCCACUUAUUAUAUGUAUAAAAAGUGCAUUAUUAAAUUAGUCAUUGACGGAGAAAGCCAGGAAAUAACUCAACAACUGAGUCUUUUAUUGCUGAAAGACUUUGGUACCCAAGUUAUUUUAACCCCAAUUUAGGACCAUCAUUGAGAAAAAUGAUAUUUUGAAUAGUGAUUUUUUAAAGAACGUGUUAUUAAAAUAGCAAAAAAAAAUUGUGUACGUGCAGAAUAUUUUAUUGUGUGAGUGUAUGAUUGAUAAUGAAUAUAAGAAUUAAAUAGUUUUGUUUGAGAGGAAUAAGAAUAGACAACGAGAAAAAAAAAGUUAGAUCAAUGUAUUUAGUUUAGCUAAAAAGCAUUGUUAAGUAAACUAAUCUUCUAGGAUCCUCACCAACGAGAAUUCUAUGAGAAAAGCUAAUUUCUAACGAUUUACAUAUUUAGACUAGAUUCAUUAUGUUAUCAAAAUAGGAAAUAAUUUGAUAUUACAUUUUGAGGCUACUAAUACAAGUCUCAAGUAAUAACUUAAACUUUCUACUUGAGGUAACACAGCUUUUAUUAGUGGAAAUAUUUUGUUUUCACAAUUAUGACAAGAUCUGUACCAAUCAGUGGCCGAUGCAGGUGGGGUCAGUAGGGCCCCUAGUCCCACUGAAAUUUGAGAAAAACAAAAUUCUAUGAUUUUUCAAAUUAUUUUUCACUUUUAAUAUUAUCAUAUUUUGUGCUUUUGAAAUUUUUAAGGUCUCAUAGACUGUAAAACAUUUCUUGAUGCAUUUCCUGGGCUAUUUAAAAAUUAACAUCUGGUUUGCCAACCUUUAUUGAAAUCCAUGUCCACGAAAUAAAAGUUGAAAUUUUAUCGAUUCCUUGAGCGGAGCAGAGAGAAGCAAUGAGAGCAAGGGAGAGAAAAAGAAAGAAUUUCCAAUGACAAAAAUGCAAAGCUUUGAGAAAGAAUGUAAAAGAGGUUUCGUAAUCACCCGAAGCAUCCUCAAAUUUCCGUGCGCAUAAGACAAUCAGUGGCUGCCUACCUGAUAUUUAGAUUGAUUUUUUGAUAGUCUCUGAGGAAGGAAUUUUAUGCUAGCAAAGGUGGUUGGAACAAGACGUAGUCUGAUGAUGUUCUUCAGAGAGAGUAAGUCGUAAGUAUUGUUGUGAAGCUCUCCUUACUUUUUUGAGGGAAAUGUCUAUUUAUAGAGCUGUAUGCUGAUGUGGCCAUGUGCCAACUCACGCUAACUGUAGCACAAGAACGCACUUCAAACAAGCAACUCAAUCCAAGUUAAGAUUUGCUAUCCAAAGUUGGUUGUUCUAAUCGAUCGAGGAAUUCCCAUGCUAAGGAGGAUCCCUUUAUUGCCAUGGCGCUUUUCACUAAGUCAUGAUGAUGACCAAAGAAAUAAAAAUAGUUUGAGCCAAUUUUAUCCAGGGGCACAUUCAAGCCCCUUAGAGGUGAUCCAUGACUUGACAUACCAUUGUAGCCAAAUUUCACCUAAAAUAUUCGUAGUCUUGGUGAUAAAUCUAGUAUAUAACACGAAUUUAUUUAUUCAAACUUGAUUAUCAACGAUAACACAUCAAUUGGAGUACAACCAUAAAUAUAAACGAUAGUUUCAUGGUUUGCCUGACCGUCCGCAUACGUUGUUAUAGUUGCACGGUCGCUUGCGAAACUGUGUAUUUCUACCUGUUCCAAAAACUGGUUUAUUUCUAAGGGUAUGUUUGAUUACAUUUAUUUUCCAUGGAAAAUAUCAAUUUUCCAUCCAAAUUUUCACUUGGAGUGUUUGAUUGCUAUUUUUUUCCAUGGAAAACAUUUUCCAACUUUUGAAAAUAUGCCUAAUUUUCCUUGUUUUUAAGGAAAAUAUUUUUCUUGGGUAGAGGUGGUUUUUAUUUUCCACAAAAGAUGGAAAAUAUUUUCUUUUCUAGGUAAUAUUUUUCUUGUCGAUCAAACACACUCUAAAUGUCUUUGGAGCUGUCAGAGCAGUUGGUGGCGAUCUAUUAGCAACAGCCGAAUGAGCAUGAGCCGUAGGAUUCCCAUGCACACUGCCUUUUAUUGCAUAAAAACAAACAUGAAAUCCAUCAAGUAAGAGCUAUAUAUAGAUUAAUAAUUAUUAAAUCUUAGUACUCAUAUGUAAAUUGCUAAAGGAAAAAGGCAAGAAAGACGGGAAAAUGGUGGAGGAUUCUGCAUGUUUAUUAAGUACAACGUAGUAAUACUUAGCACUUAGUACUUUAGACGAGGAUAAAGAGCCUAACCUCCAAUGUAAGAAAUUACAAAGAAAUAUGAAAUACUAAGAAAAAAAAUGUUAAUAAACUUGAACUCGAGUCACGACGCACCUUUUGAAUUUUGGUAAAGCUCUCUAGUAGUUGAUGGAAAGAACAAGAUUGAAAGGAUGAAGAAAAAAAUAAGGAUUUUCAUUAAUCUCUUUUGGAUGAAUAUGAGAAUUGAAGAGAGUGUUGUUCCUUUAUGCCU